GAUGAACGCUGGCGGCGUGCCUUAUACAUGCAAGUCGAGUGGGUUUAGACUCACGGCAUACGGGUGAGUAAGACGUAGGUACUUUCCUUGUCACAGAAAUAACCCUCCGCAAGGAGGGCUAAUACCUGGUAUGGUCGCAAGAGUAAAGGGUAUCCGCAAGCAUUACCGGACAAGAUGGGGCCUGCGGCCUAUCAGCUAGUUGGCGGGCUAAAUGCCGACCAAGGCUAUGACGGGUAGCUGGUCUUAUGAGGCUGAGCAGUCACAUCGGCACGGAGACACGGGCCCGAAUCAUACGACAAGCAGCGGAAGGCAAUUUUGCGCAAUCGGCGAAAGCCUGACGCAGCUACGGCUCGUGCGGCAUGAAUGCUUUCGGGUAGUAAACCGCGUUUAUAAGGGACGUGCUUUGACGGUACCUAAUGAAUAAGAGGUUGCUAACUCCGUG
rnacentral:rRNA from 1 species